rnacentral:lncRNA from 1 species
AUUAUGUGAGGUUUUCAAUUUGAAGUCCACUGAAUGACAUCCAGUAAUUAGUUACUAGAUGCCGGAAAAUAUGUCAAUGAUGUUAGAACGUACACGCCCUCCUGUCUACAUUGACAAUCAAAUGAGCCUGGAUACAUUCUUCUUGAUCCGUGUUGGGAUCCUAGUGUAAACUUGUUUGUGUCUUUCAGUACAACCGUCAAGGGAGGCAUGAAUAGUAUUUCUACGAUGGAUGGCCAUGAUGCUGAAACCAACUCUGGGUCGGGGAGUGAAAACUCACCAAAAACCAUGGUAGAGUGUACGUACACAAGUUAACGUGUAUGUACAGAAAAACCAGUGCUAUUUUUGGUGACAGACGAUAUACAUGAUUUGUUGUUAACUUUUGUUGUUCUCAAGUUCAGAAAAAGAGACAGAAAACUUAUUCCGAAUCAGUGUACAAAAUGUAGACAAGAAGGUCAUAACAAGAAGACUUGCAAAAAUCCAAUUUAACUCAGUGUGUUUGUUUUUUAUCGAAGUGUUGACAGUGUACGUUUAUGUGGGUACUGAUACAGGUCAAAUUGAUCCUAAAGCCUACUCUCUCAAAUAAGAGAUCUAUUGCAGUACUUUAGGGUCAAAUUCCGCAAAGUUUUUUUGUUCAACAAUAAGUUAUAAGUCUCAAAAUUAGGCUAAAUAAAAUAAUUAAAAUUAAAAUAAAACAAUAGCAGGCAAUGAUAUCUGGUGAAAAGAUCAAUAGAUUAAAGCGUCAGGUUUAGGGAAAUUUUCAGGAAAUAAACUAUUAGUAAAUCUAGCAAAUUAAUUAGGAUUAUUUAAUGAACCGUUAUUAAACUCAAAUCACUAAUGAAUAGCUAACCACAUCUCGAUGCGAUAACUUACAAGCCUAAUAUCAGUAAUUCUACCUCUCGAUGCGAAUUCCUAGAUCUAGACUAGCAUUAAAUUUAGGUUUGAUAUGUUCACCUUAGUAGAUAGGCCGAUUCUUAUUAUACACCUAUAAACCAGGCUCAUCUAAAGUAGUUCAGGUAACAGGUGCCCUCUCGGAUCAAAUACCUAUUAUCCUAAGAUAAGGUUCUAGUUAGCUACUCUAUAACAAGCAUUAAGAACAACCUAGAUGAAGAACUCUAUGGAUUAAUCCUAACAGGUAAUUGAUUUACUAGUUCGUCUAAAUCCCUAAUAAGAAUCCCUAAACCUAACAGGGAGAUUACUCAGACAUGAUUAAUGAAACAGAAAACAUGUUGAAUAAAUUGCAGAAUAAGAAAUCAAUAGAAGAAAAGGGUUUAGAAGAAAUCUUCUCUCUAACAAGGUAAUGAAUCUCUGAAAAGUUGUUCUCUCCAAUUAUAUUCCAAAGGGUUCAAGCACAGAGACUUACAGAAGCAAAAAGACAAAAGUUGCAGGGUACAGAAACUGAAAAACCCUAAAAAUUAUUUAUAAAGUCUACAAAAACGUGCAGGGACUAAAAUUACAAAUAGGAAAGUCUUCUGGGUAAAUUCUGCAGGCUUUAAAACUCUAAACCGUUGAGAUUCCUUGCUGGGCCGCGUAUGGUGUCGAGCGACACCAAGGGUGUCGGUCGACACUCAUGCCUUGGUUCGAACCGAAUUCGUCUCUUCAGCUCCAAAUCUUCGGUUUAGCUCCAGAAUGAUUCCUUUUCUCCAAUUUCGUUCCGAACGUGUAAAAACCUGAAAAAAAAACUCAAAAAGACACUAGAAACAACAAAAAAGACUCUAAAACUAACACGUAAAUCACGGUUAAAACCAGUAAAAUCCGUGUUAUAUCAGGUACUUUAUGUACCAAAGUUUAUUGCGGUGUACGUUUGUAUUUGCCAUCGUAUAACUAUGUACAUUUAUGAUCUUCUCCUUGUACGUGUAUCUUACACCACAAACGGUUACAGACGAUUACACAAUUGCAUAUCUCAAACGUUGCACCCUUUCGAAUUAACCAUUGCGUCAGUUACAAAAUUUUCUUAUUUAAGCCAUAAUUUCUUCUUACUAUUUUCCACGUUUCAGCUAUCGAAAACCCUUGUAAAGACUCGGUUUAUAUCUAUGAACCACAAACUCGCACCGGUUUUGCUUAUUUUCCGUGUUAUCAUCAUGGACGGAUAUCAUACUAUUUCUGAAUUGUGUCCUCUUAUCACUAGGUGGACAAUUUGUGUCUUUGUUGUGCGAGUGUUUAAGAAGUUUGUUUUGCACCGAACGUUUUCGAAAUCGGCAUGAACUUGGCAGAUGAUUCGGUACUAUGCAUUUGUCUCGUUCGUCGUUUUCAACAUACAACGCAUUUUCUAAACUCUAAUUCGAUUUUAUCAUAUCUUGCAGGAUUCACGUUCCCGUAUAGAUGUAAUCAUUGAUCGUCGUCUUGCUCCUUUUUACUUAGACCGAGUCAAAGAAAAUGAAUAGAAAAUUAUCACAUCUUUCUACGUCCGUAACAACGCUGACCCAAUGAGAGCAACAGUGCACGACUACGGGAUCUAGUUUAUGGAUCAGACCAUUGUAACUAACGCAUUGCGAAUGGGCGCAUUAUAUUUUUAUGAUUCUACUCCAUUCGACUACAUUAUUGAGAAGACGGUUGAUAAGAAUGUGUUGGUCUGUCAGUAGUUUAAUCUAAAACUUGUUUUUGUAUAUUUUAUGACAAUACUUCCAUAGUAUUUUGGUUUCCUACUUCCAUAAUAUUUUAUAACAAUAUCCAUAAUAUUUUGGUUUUUUUUUUGUAUAUUUUAUGAUAAUACUUUCAUGGCCGAAGAUUUUUACGGUGUGAAACUACCUUUCAAGAUCAAAGAUAGAUAGUACGUACCUUUAACCUUUGCAAAUAAAACUACUUUUCUCAUUUGCUGAUCAUGUUUAUCAUUCUAUCUAAUUUAGCAUGGAAAUUGUGGAAUGUGAAGCACACAAUCAACAAGCUUUGAACUUCCAACAUUACUUCCGGAGUUAUACUCGGCGUAAUAUUGUGGUUACACUCGUUUGCUGGCGGGUUACCGGAAGAAAUAAUCCGAACCUUGUGAAUCAUGGCCCUGUCUCAGAGUUGUUUUAUGAUCCGGACAUACCGGAAGUCGAAGAGAUAAUGAUGGUGAUUUAUUAGUAUAAAGGAGUACAUAUUGCUUUGUUGUUUAAUGUUUGAGUGUUUUCUUAAAACUACAUAUUGUUGUUUAUACUAAUAAAUUUAAUGUUUGAGUGUUUUCUUAAAACUACAUACUGUUGCGUUAAACUACAAACAAAUAUUGUUGUUUUCUAGGAUGUUUAACUCCCAAAAUUUAAAUAUAUGGCCUAAUUUAUUUUUAUGGCUUUGUACGUUUAACAUAUCAUUCUUGACAAGUGUACGUUCAUAUUGAAUAAUUUGAUCAUGUGUACGUACAUAUUUGUCCGUUGUUGUUACCAUUUCGUGGCUGUGUAUGGUAAUAUUAGUGUUCUGAACUAUGUACGUAUACAGAUGAUUUCAACAUCAAACGUUUAAUAAUUAAUACAUGUUGUCUUCAUAAAAUUAAACUUCAUUCAUUCAUAACAUGAGUUCUGGAAAAGGAAAUACAAAGCAUAGAUAUAAACCGAGAAGUAGCGUAGAUUCAUAAGAAAUAAAGUAAAACUUAGAGCUGAAGCAUAGUCAUACGAGGGAAAAUUGCAUGUUUCAUCCUUUAUAACCAUGUCACCUCUAGAAAAUGCAGAGCUCUCGUGUGUACCAGUAGAAGAAACAAUUUCGGCACCAAUGUUCGUAUGUGCAACGUCUAAUAUAUCAUGGAGUGUUAACAAACCUCCAUGCUCUUUGCCACAGGGGAGAGCCUUCAAGAUGAAGAUGCUUGAAUGUGGUACAUGGCAAACUUCCCCACGGCGGUUGCUGCCUCGAACGUUGGUAUCAUUUCCCAGUACAUCGCAUUUACCGGCACGAAGUCACUGUAGUUGUCCGUUGUUGUUAACAACAACCCAUGUGCGAAGCAAGCAUAUGGGUCGGUUGGUAUACCAUGGACGACGGUCAGGAAGUUGCUUGCAAGUUUAACUCCCUUUGGGAUUAAAUCUUCGAUUCAAAAUCAAUAUCCCAAGAUUUUAGAUUCCUAAAUCCCCAUCCCCAAAUGAAAAUCGAAUUCAGUGUUAACAGAUACUUACCCAUACUUGUGCUCUCCGGCAAUGUACUAGGAAUCUCGAUUAUCUUCUCCGGUAAGCUAUUCACUUGCCUCUCCGCUGAACUUGUCACUACAUUCGAGCGGCGCCGACUCUUCAUCUUCAGUUGUUUCAUUUUUUCCUGGUCAUAUGUACUCCGGUAUCUUAAUCGCCAGAAAUUAGUUAGUUUUUGCUCAUCUCGAAAAAAGCAAAGUAAAAUGAGAGAUUUAGAGAGGAUUUGAUACGGGAUUCGCCGGAAUUUUGUUACGUUUUGCUCGUCUCCAGAUAAUACAAAAAGAUUGAGAGAUUAAAUAGAAGAUUGGAAAUCAGUUGAACUCAAAUUUUUCCUCCUCUUCUCUCCUUCGUUUUCUUCAGUUUCUUUCCGUCGUUCAUCUUCAGUUUAAUUGUUUUUAAUUAAAUAAAAAAAACUAAAUGAAAGAAACCAAACAAGCACAGUUACGUUUGUAGUUGAGGGUAUUUUUGUCUGAAAAGUCACAAAUUGUCAAAACAUGAAAGAUCAUGUUCACUUUAUCAAUUGGUGAGAGAAAAACUCAAUUGUUUCCUUUUUGUAAAUUUUUUUUUUUUUAAAAUACCAUAUAUUAUUAUUCUUAACUUUUGUACGAACAGGCAACCACCGUUUUGGGAGUGUAUAUAUAUCAUACUUAACUGUCAAACCAACUGGUGUCGACCUUUGGAGUUAUAUGAUUUGAUUUUUUUCUUCCUCUUAUGUCAUUUUCUCCGUGCUUCGUAUCGUAUGUUUCAAUUAUAUGUUAGACACUGCAAAAUAUGUAUAUAUGUGUGGUGACGAUUGAUUACUACUUACUUAGUUACUUGAGUUUGGCAUUUUUCUCAUGAAUUUUCGAGUCAUUUUUCGUUAUUAAUAACAAUUUGAUUUGUUCACUCACAAACGUGUGGUAAUGGUCGGGGCCAAGUUGACCUGUUAACACCCAAUCAUUUACAGCACCUUUGAAAAUUAAAUAUUCGCUUUCUUUUUUUUUGUUUCUUGUAGCAUUAUAAAUUCAAUAACAUUAUCAACAAAUUAUUGUGGAAUUUUGCAGACAAAGCAUAUGCUGUUGUGUCUACUCCAUUUCUACUUUUCACUUAUCCUCAGUGACAUAAUUAAAUUGGUGAAAGCGAAGGAUUAUCUACUGUUCGUAUAUUGAUCUAGAAAAAAUGGAGUUCAUUUGUGGAUGUGGUGGAGUGAUGUUACUAAUUCACCCAAACAUAACCAUUAUUUAUUUUUCUCUAUCCAAUUACAACAAUAUCUUUUUUUUUAAGUACGUAAUUCAUGAGUAGCCUAUACAAAUAAGUAAAUAAUUAUGAUGGAAUAUAUAUGUAUGUAUGGUGACUAACACAUAUAUAGACGUGUUUAAAUAAUCAUUUUGGAUUCGAAGGAGGAAGUUGUUGUUGCAUUUGCUGAUAUAAUGCAGCCAUCCUGCUAUAUGCUUCCAUCGUCGUUGGCUGCAAUUCCCAAUAUAUAAAUAUAAAUGGUAAUGAAGCAUUGAUCAGACACAAGUUGUAUAUCUAUAUAUAGAAAAAAGAGGUCAACCUGAGUCGAGCAUGCAAGAAAGGCAGCCAUAGGAUCGGGAAUGAGAGGAGACUGAAAUCGAGCGUCGUUUGACGAAGCAUCCCAUGAUGGACAAGUCAUGGGCGCAAAUGGGUUUGGCAUCAUGUUGGCAUGGAUAUUAGGAGCGGUUGCAGCAGCAGCAGCUCGGUUCAUAGAAUUAAGGUCGAGGAGACCGAGCCCGGGCAUCCCCAUGCCAAUCCCUAAACCCAUGGGAUUGGACAUGAGAGACAUUUGUAGUUGUUGUUGUUGUUGCUGCAUGGCCAUAGGAAGCAUCAUGGAAGGCAUGUUCAUUCUGCUCAUCAUGCUCACUUGUGCUUGAAGUUGCUUCAAGUACUCUAUCACUUCAUCCAACAUAGAUGCUUUAUCCGUCUAUAGUUCCAAAGUUAACGAAUUAUCAAACCUCAUUUGUAUCUACUAGCUAUAAUUAACCAAACCAAUGCUACGGAUAUAGUCAAGCAUGUGUGUAAUGUAGAUUGUGUUGAUUUUUGAGUCGACAGCCACAAGGCAUAUAAUAAUUAAAGGUGUAUGAAUGGACCAACCGGACCAAGUAAAAUAAGUUUUUAGGAGACAAGCAAAUAAGAGAUUGAUGGACAUAAGUGUGUGGAGUAGAAUCAUCGUAUGAGGUCCAUUUCUUUAGAUGCAUUCACUUCACUUUGGUCCACCACCCUUUUCUCAUAUUAUCCCCUCGCUCUAUUUUCAUGUAUACCUAGCUAGCUACUAUUACUAAUCAACUACUACUGUAUAGCAUCUUUUUGUACCAUACGCACGCAGACUCAUAUGACUUUUAUUUAGCCACGUACGUAAUAAUGUUUAUGAUACAUAUGUAAAACGGCAUGCGUACCUUGCUGGAAUUGGGAACCAGUUUCUGCAAAAUCUUCAUCCUUUGAUUGAUCUUAUCUCUCCUCUUCUGCAAUAAAAUCAAUCAAGGGUAAAAUCGAGGGGGUCAUGCAUGUAAAACCAAUCAUCAGUUUGAAAAAAAUGGUUGAGUGAAUAAUUACACGUUCGGAUUGGUUAUGAAUAGCAGCAGCUCUACUUCUCUUGGUUGAAACUGAUGAUUUGCCUCCGGCUUUCUUCUCUUCUUCGUCCUCCAUCUAUCGUUUUUUCUUAACUAAUAUUAUUUACUUAUAAUUAAAACUAGCUAGAACAAGUUAUAUGAUGACUUGCCUGUGGGCGGCUGUGGCAGACGGAGUCAUGAUCGUCGAUGGUGUUAUCUUGCGAGCCCAUGGAUGUUGAGGUGAAACCUACGUCGUAAGUGUCCAUGGUCAGCCUCUGACUCCCGCCCCCGCUCCACUCCGGCGCCACUCUGGCCCGUUUUCCACCGGCCAUGGUACGACCAUCGCUACAUGACCCCACCCGGGUGGAGCCAACGCCACCGGGCUUGCUCUGCUGCUCCUGUACUAGUUUGGAGCAAGGGACAAGCGCGUCCAUGGCCAUGGCGGCCCUAGAAGAGCGAUGGUGGAACCACGGGACGAGCUCAUCGGUGGGCUUAUGGUUAGGGAGGCGAGUAGCUUGGUCCACUAUCGACUCCAACGUUCCACCCGCGCCUGUGGAGUACUUUGUCGACGAAGCCGUCACUCGCGGUGGACCUAAGCCGUGCAAGCCCAGUUGCCCGUUCUCCCACGUCAGCUCGGCUACCUCGUAGUCUAAUCUGCAGACAAACAAGAAAAGCUAUCUCUUAUGAUAUUGUGGCCACUUAUAAUAUCGAGAUGAUAAAUUAAGGUACAUACAUGGGGAUGUCUGCUGCUGUGAUGGAGCGGACGGUGGUGGUGGCUGCUGCGGCUGCCGUAGUAUCAUCGAUGUGACAGUUUGGAACACAUUGGCUCAUCCUAAAUCUGUGUAUCGCAGCAGUUUAAAAGGUUUAGUGUUAUUGACAUCUUCUUCUCUUUCCUAUAUGUAUAUAAAGAACUUUUAUGUGAACUUUUGUAGUAAUCACGUAAUUGACAAGUGGGGACAUGAUACUUGAAUAGUUAACCAUAUAUAUUAAAUUAUUCAGGUCCCUUCUUUAAUGGCCUGCUUAAGACUUGUUGAAUGUUUUGUUGACAACUUAAAUGUGAGAAUCAAUUCUGUAUAUGACUCACAUAUAUAGUUUGUUGUCAUAGUUAGUAGGAUUCGCUAAAAUAUAAUACUAGUGUGUCACACUAUGUUACAUAUGUUCUUUUGCUAGAAAAAAAAAAAUUCCAAAGAGCGAGUGAAUAUUUUUAAGCCAAAGAAAACGACAUUUGAAUUUUGCAAGUAUGAAAUUACUUUUUGGAUGCAUGAAGUAAGAUCUCGUUGAAGAAUCAAUUACGUAGUAUAUAACUUACUGUAUUGAUGCAUUUCUAUGAUUUACCAUUGAAGACCAAAACUAAUGCAACAAUUCCAUGUAUCAUGUAUGAGUGUUGGCAUCGGUUCCUGAAUAGUUAACGUGGCGAUAUUUUAUUUGUUUAGAAAAUGUCCGGUUCAUAGAGAUUUAGAGGCUCCUCAUGAGAAAGCCUUCGAAAGUGAUUCCCGGUCCGAAAGCUAAGCCCAGACCCCACUCUUCUCCCUCUGUGCCUUUCUUCUCAAGCUCAUCUCUUACUUUGUCCAUUAUGUAGAAGAUGGUGUUGCUGCUUACGUUCCCAUAAUCCAUCAACGCCCUUCUGCUGCAUUCCAGCUUUUCCGGCUUCAGCUUCAGCUUUGUCUCCAACCCGCUCAGGAUGGCUGGUCCACCCGGAUGAACUGCCCAGAAAAGGUCAUUCAACUCCAACGAACCAGAGCCAGCCUUUGCCACCAGCUUCUUGCAGAACUCCUCCACGUUGUCUUCGAUCUUCUGAGGGAGGUCUCUUCCUAGCUUGAAGCUUAUUCCCUCUUCUGACAGCCUCCCGUCGAUCACCCCCUGUGUUUGGGGAAGGAACUGCUGCAGAGCACAGUGAAGCUCCAUGAAGGGAGAUUCAGACUCUCUAGGGUCAGCUCCGAUGAUCAGGGCAGCUGCUCCGUCUCCAAAGAGAGCAGCCCCAACUAAGUCGUAAGGGCGAGCUUUGUUGGGCGGGCGGAACCCCAGAACCGUAGUCUCGGAGGUGGUGAGCAGCACCCGGCUCCCUGGGUUGUUCUCAGCAAUGUCUUUGGCCACGCGCAGCCCGCUCAAACCUCCAUAGCAUC